rnacentral:rRNA from 1 species
GCCGCGGUAAUUCCAGCUCCAAUAGCGUAUACUAAAGUUGUUGCGGUUAAAAAGCUCGUAGUUGGAUCUUGGAAUGUGUUCAAGCGGGUCAGCUUCUGGCUGUGCGCUGCUUGACGUGUUCUUCUAUUUGGUUUUGGUGCGGUGCGCUUAACUGCGUGUCGCUCCCGGCCGAAACGUUUACCUUGAAAAAAUUAGAGUGUUCAAAGCAGACCUGUUUGAGUCUGAAUAUUCGUGCAUGGAAUAAUGAAAUAUGAAUUCGGUUCUAUUUUGUUGGUUUUCGGAACUCGAGUUAAUGAUCAAGAGGGACAGACGGGGGCAUUCGUACUCUGCCGUUAGAGGUGAAAUUCUUGGAUCGGCGGAAGACGCGCAACUGCGAAAGCAUUUGCCAAGAAUGUUUUCUUUAAUCAAGAACGAUAGUCGGAGGUUCGAAGACGAUCAGAUACCGUCCUAGUUUCGACUGUAAACUAUGCCAGCUAACGAUCAGACAGAGUUCUCUACGACUUGUCUGGCAGUUUCCGGGAAACCAAAGCGUUUGGGUUCCGGGGGAAGUAUGGUUGCAAAGCUGAAACUUAAAGGAAUUGACGGAAGGGCACCACCAGGAGUGGAGCCUGCGGCUUAAUUCGACUCAACACGGGGAAACUCACCCGGCCCGGACACAGUGAGGAUUGACAGAUUGAGAGUUCUUUCUUGAUUCUGUGGGUGGUGGUGCAUGGCCGUUCUUAGUUGGUGGAGCGAUUUGUCUGGUUAAUUCCGAUAACGAACGAGACUCUGGCAUGUUAAAUAGUCGCGGAAGUGCGUAUGCACUUGCCGAAUUGACUUCUUAGAGGGACUAGUGAUUUUAAUUCACACGAGAUUGAGCAAUAACAGGUCUGUGAUGCCCA